CGCGCCGGCGACUCGCCGAAUGAGUUUCUGACCUAUCAACUCGAGACGGCGGGGUAGAGGCCCGCCGCGGUAACGACGUGUAACGGGGAAUCAGGGUUCGAUUCCGGAGAGGGAGCCCGAGAAACGGCUACCACUUCCAAGGAAGGCAGCAGGCGCGCAACUUACCCUAAUCUCGAUUCGAGGAGGUAGUGACAAGAAAUACCGAUGCGGGACCCUACGGGUGCCGCGUUCGGAAUGAGUACGAUUCGAACCACCUAACGAGGAACGAUCGGAGGGCAAGUCUGGUGCCAGCAGCCGCGGUAAUUCCAGCUCCAAUAGCGUACGUUAAAGUUGCUGCAGUUAAAAAGCUCGUAGUUGAACGUUCGGGUUCCGCGGGACGGGGCCGCCCCGCGAGGACGGCGCCGCCCCGGGCUCGUGAUAUCUUAUCUCGCCGCCCGUCGCGAGGCGGACGGA
rnacentral:rRNA from 1 species